rnacentral:rRNA from 1 species
UAGGAGGCGGGAGAGGCGGACGGUACUCCGCGUGUAGGGGUAAAAUCCUUUGAUCCGCGGAAGACCACCCAGUGGCGAAGGCGGUCCGCCAGAACGCGCUCGACGGUGAGGGAUGAAAGCUGGGGGAGCGAACCGGAUUAGAUACCCGGGUAGUCCCAGCCGUAAACGAUG